rnacentral:tRNA from 1 species
UGGCCGCUAGCUCAAUGGUUAGAGCACUCGCCUUUUAAGCGAUAGGUUGUGGGUUCGAGCCCCACGCGGCCAACCA